CUUUUUCUUUCACCGGAGCUUGCUCCACCGAAAGAAAAGGAGUGGCGAACGGGUGAGUAACACGUGGGUAACCUGCCCAUCAGAAGGGGAUAACACUUGGAAACAGGUGCUAAUACCGUAUAACAAUCGAAACCGCAUGGUUUUGAUUUGAAAGGCGCUUUCGGGUGUCGCUGAUGGAUGGACCCGCGGUGCAUUAGCUAGUUGGUGAGGUAACGGCUCACCAAGGCCACGAUGCAUAGCCGACCUGAGAGGGUGAUCGGCCACAUUGGGACUGAGACACGGCCCAAACUCCUACGGGAGGCAGCAGUAGGGAAUCUUCGGCAAUGGACGAAAGUCUGACCGAGCAACGCCGCGUGAGUGAAGAAGGUUUUCGGAUCGUAAAACUCUGUUGUUAGAGAAGAACAAGGAUGAGAGUAACUGUUCAUCCC
rnacentral:rRNA from 1 species